CCUACGGGGGGCUGCAGUGGGGAAUUGUUCGCAAUGGGCGCAAGCCUGACGACGCAACGCCGCGUGGAGGAUGAAGACCUUCGGGUCGUAAACCCUAGAGAGUCCGCAAUCGGUAUCGAGGGAAGAAGCCCCGGCUAACUCUGUGCCAGCAGCCGCGGUAAUACAGGGGGGGCAAGCGUAGGUCGGAAUUACUGGGCGUAAAGGGUCUGUAGGUGGCCAACUAAGUCAGACGUGAAAUCCCUCAGCUUAACUGGGGAACUGCGUCUGAUACUGGAUGGCUUGAGUGUGGGAGAGGAAUGCGGAAUUCCAGGUGUAGCGGUGAAAUGCGUAGAUAUCUGGAGGAACACCGGUGGCGAAGGCGGCAUUCUGGACAUACUGACACUGAGAGACGAAAGCCGGGGAGCAAACGGGAUUAGAUACCCUGGUAGUC
rnacentral:rRNA from 1 species